rnacentral:rRNA from 1 species
AGACCCGAAACCCGGUGAUCUAGCCAUGGGCAGGUUGAAGGUUGGGUAACACUAACUGGAGGACCGAACCGACUAAUGUUGAAAAAUUAGCGGAUGACCUGUGGCUGGGGGUGAAAGGCCAAUCAAACCGGGAGAUAGCUGGUUCUCCCCGAAAGCUAUUUAGGUAGCGCCUCGUGAAUUCAUCUCCGGGGGUAGAGCACUGUUUCGGCUAGGGGGCCAUCCCGGCUUACCAACCCGAUGCAAACUGCGAAUACCGGAGAAUGUUAUCACGGGAGACACACGGCGGGUGCUAACGUCCGUCGUGAAGAGGGAAACAACCCAGACCGCCAGCUAAGGUCCCAAAGUCAUGGUUAAGUGGGAAACGAUGUGGGAAGGCCCAGACAGCCAGGAUGUUGGCUUAGAAGCAGCCAUCAUUUAAAGAAAGCGUAAUAGCUCACUGGUCGAGUCGGCCUGCGCGGAAGAUGUAACGGGGCUAAACCAUGCACCGAAGCUGCGGCAGCGACACUGUGUGUUGUUGGGUAGGGGAGCGUUCUGUAAGCCUGUGAAGGUGUGUCGUGAGGCAUGCUGGAGGUAUCAGAAGUGCGAAUGCUGACAUAAGUAACGAUAAAGCGGGUGAAAAGCCCGCUCGCCGGAAGACCAAGGGUUCCUGUCCAACGUUAAUCGGGGCAGGGUGAGUCGACCCCUAAGGCGAGGCCGAAAGGCGUAGUCGAUGGGAAACGGGUUAAUAUUCCCGUACUUGGUGUUACUGCGAAGGGGGGACGGAGAAGGCUAUGUUGGCCGGGCGACGGUUGUCCCGGUUUAAGCGUGUAGGUGUGUGUUCCAGGUAAAUCCGGUUCACUUUAACACUGAGGCGUGAUGACGAGGCACUACGGUGCUGAAGCAACAAAUGCCCUGCUUCCAGGAAAAGCCUCUAAGCAUCAGGUAACAUCAAAUCGUACCCCAAACCGACACAGGUGGUCAGGUAGAGAAUACCAAGGCGCUUGAGAGAACUCGGGUGAAGGAACUAGGCAAAAUGGUGCCGUAACUUCGGGAGAAGGCACGCUGACACGUAGGUGAAGUGAUUUACUCAUGGAGCUGAAGUCAGUCGAAGAUACCAGCUGGCUGCAACUGUUUAUUAAAAACACAGCACUGUGCAAACACGAAAGUGGACGUAUACGGUGUGACGCCUGCCCGGUGCCGGAAGGUUAAUUGAUGGGGUCAGCGCAAGCGAAGCUCCUGAUCGAAGCCCCGGUAAACGGCGGCCGUAACUAUAACGGUCCUAAGGUAGCGAAAUUCCUUGUCGGGUAAGUUCCGACCUGCACGAAUGGCGUAAUGAUGGCCAGGCUGUCUCCACCCGAGACUCAGUGAAAUUGAACUCGCUGUGAAGAUGCAGUGUACCCGCGGCAAGACGGAAAGACCCCGUGAACCUUUACUAUAGCUUGACACUGAACAUUGAGCCUUGAUGUGUAGGAUAGGUGGGAGGCUUUGAAGUGUGGACGCCAGUCUGCAUGGAGCCGACCUUGAAAUACCACCCUUUAAUGUUUGAUGUUCUAACGUGGACCCGUGAUCCGGGUUGCGGACAGUGUCUGGUGGGUAGUUUGACUGGGGCGGUCUCCUCCUAAAGAGUAACGGAGGAGCACGAAGGUUGGCUAAUCCUGGUCGGACAUCAGGAGGUUAGUGCAAUGGCAUAAGCCAGCUUGACUGCGAGCGUGACGGCGCGAGCAGGUGCGAAAGCAGGUCAUAGUGAUCCGGUGGUUCUGAAUGGAAGGGCCAUCGCUCAACGGAUAAAAGGUACUCCGGGGAUAACAGGCUGAUACCGCCCAAGAGUUCAUAUCGACGGCGGUGUUUGGCACCUCGAUGUCGGCUCAUCACAUCCUGGGGCUGAAGUAGGUCCCAAGGGUAUGGCUGUUCGCCAUUUAAAGUGGUACGCGAGCUGGGUUUAGAACGUCGUGAGACAGUUCGGUCCCUAUCUGCCGUGGGCGCUGGAGAACUGAGGGGGGCUGCUCCUAGUACGAGAGGACCGGAGUGGACGCAUCACUGGUGUUCGGGUUGUCAUGCCAAUGGCACUGCCCGGUAGCUAAAUGCGGAAGAGAUAAGUGCUGAAAGCAUCUAAGCACGAAACUUGCCCCGA